rnacentral:rRNA from 1 species
AGGAAGUGCGUCGCUUGCGACAAACCAACUGAUUGGAAGGGCGUUCCUAGAAAAAUACUUCUAAGGUAUAGCAUAGACGACCGUACCGCAAACCGACUCAGGUGGGUGAGGCGAAUAGCCUCAGGUGCUUGAGAGAACUGAGGUGAAGGAACUCGGCAAAUUAGCUCCGUAACUUCGGGAGAAGGAGUGCCGAAGCGAGUGUAGGAGUACAUCCGAAGCUUGCCUCGGUCGCAGAGAAAUGGCAGAAGCGACUGUUUACCAAAAACACAGGACUGUGCGAACCCGCAAGGGGCAGUAUACAGUCUGACACGUGCCCGGUGCCGGAAGGUUAACAGGAGAGGUCAGCGCAAGCGAAGCCUUGAAUCGAAGCCCCGGUAAACGGCGGCCGUAACAAUAACGGUCCUAAGGUAGCGAAAUUCCUUGUCAGGUAAGUUCUGACCUGCACGAAUCGUGUAACGACUUCUGCGCUGUCUCAACCUCGGACUCAGCGAAAAUUGUAGUGCCGGUGAAGAUGCCGGCUACCCGCAUCUGGAC